UACAGUUUCAGCUCAAUUCCGUCCUGAUAACCUGUUCCGUAGAACACUCUCCUGAGGACUCACCGGAACUCUGGGGAGGUGGGUCCUGUAGAAGUAGGCGGCAUUGUGACGGAGAAGCCACAAUUCUUUUUCGAUCUAUUAUUGCAGCAUUGUGCUGGGUCUUUAUCUGUGCAUUGUUUUCUACUGAAUUUUUUCUAAGAGUGCCAAUGGUAAACAUGUGUAAAUGGGCCACUGUGUUUUCAUUCAACAGUUUGAAUUCACGGGUGUGUCCCAGUCAGAAUGUGUGGAUUGUAGGACCUCCUUUCUAUUAGCAGCAACACUGCUUUUUCUUUUGCUGGGUUUUUUGUUUUUUUUUUUUUUCCAAGGGACUGGGUGGCUUCACAGCAGCCAUCAUGUUUGGAACCUGAAAUUUAAUAUAAAGAUUGUUCAGUAAGGAGAGGUGGACCAUAUCACCUUCUAGUGAGAGCUCAGUUUUGAGGUGGUCAUAAUUUUCCCCCAGCUGUCUAUAUCCAAUACGACGACGAGAAUGUAUGUUAGAUGAAGGAGUAGAGGCCUGCAUGCACUGUGCCAAAUCCUACAUCCUGGACGAAUUCCUGCAAGAUACACAUUUUACAGUUCACACAUUUGAUAGCCAGAUGAAGACAUAUAAAUUUUUAGAGUUUCUAGUGACAGUAAUCAUCCAGGCGACCACUGAUUGUGUACAACUCGGGGAUCACUUUGAUGAAUGCUUUGGUAUUGUGUUUGCUGAAAGGCUCAUGACCAAUAUCAGACUUAUCAUCAAUGAGAACUUUCUGUAUCCAGAAUUUGUUCGCUGCUGGGCUGAAAAAACGGUGGAUGAUGCCAUUAGAUGUUCUGAUGUCCUUUCUGAGAAACCAGCAAUCAGAUUUGGCACUGCAGCAAAUGUCCAGGACCGAAGAAAAAACGAUUUCAUGCUUUGCACCUUGAAACACGGUAUCAACUCUACAGUGGUCUGCUGAUCUCUAGGAACAUUCAAGCAAAUCCAGAUGUGAUGUGACUGACAGCCACCAGCGAAACCUCUUCUUAUACAAUUAUCUGCUACAGUCUACAAAAAAGGAAUCAAAGACUGGGCCUGGAUACUGGGUCUGUUAAACAAGCAUUCCUGGUGUUGGCGUCCCAGUCCCUGAUGACCGCGUGCCCGACGACUGCGCACCUAAGAACUGCCUGGUGGACAACCACACGACCACCGCGACAUCCCCCUGGUGACAACCCCCGGGACGCAGUAUGAAAGCACCCGCUCCA